ACCACUGCGCCACCAGGGAAGCCCCAGCUGGAUUCUUAUAUGUGCUUCUGCAUGAAAUCUCUUAUGUGUUUUGGUUGAAGCAUGGGAAGAAAGUCAAGUAUCCCAGAGGUAGGUAGCUGGAAAGAGACUCUCGCAGAUGCCCUGUGUCAGGCAGCCUGUAAAGUGUCUCCCAGGGCUCCCCACUGCCUGAUCUUCGUACCCUUCGUAAUCCCCUCCCCUUGGGUGUAGGCUGGGUCAGAUGACUCACUCCAAGGAAGUGAGUGGUACAAGUGGUAUGGCAAAAGUGAUGGCAUGACCCUCUGAAGAUUACGUCCCAGAGAGACUGUGGCUUCCGUCUAGAGGGGGCCCUCUCUUGCUCUCUUGCUCGGAGAGAAGUCAGCUGCCAUGUUCCAAGCUUCAGGAUGGAAAGACCCACCUGACAAGGGACAGAGAGAGGCCUCUGGCCAAAAUCCAGUGAGGAACUGGGGCCCCAAGUGAGGAAGCUCCUCACUGAAUCUUGCCAACAACCACGGCCUUGAGCUUGGAAGCGGACGCUCCCCCAGUAAAAGGCCUGAAGUCGCUUCCCUGCCAGAAGCCCCCGUGGAGUGAAGCCAGGCUUGCCAACGGACCAGACUUGGCACUGGGUCCAGUGAACUGCUGACGCCACACGAUUCUGCAUUACUGGAAUCUUCCCAGCGCCCCUGCUUGCAGCAUCACCGAACUCCACCUGGAGCGGCUUCUCAGGGCAUCAGGUCUUCACCAAAGUAGGAGAAGCCUUUGAAUUCCUCCUGGUUGAUCUGCUUCACAAUCGCUUCGUCCACGAGCGGCCCCCCGCAGGGAGUGGGCAUCGCGCUGACCAGCCUCUCGCCAAAGCAGACCUCUAGCUACUGAGAGCAGACAUCGAGCUGUUCCAAUGAGGUAACGAUGAAUGGCCCCAGGACCGGGAGGUGAUGGAGGACUUGGAGAGGAAGAAUGAGUCCAGGUGAGAAGGAAGACGGGGUGAGAGGUAUGAUGGAAAAGCAGGGAAGUGGGAUUCCCAUAGACUGUGUGUGUGGGGUGGAGUGUGUGUGUGCAUGUCUGUGUGUGUGUUGCGGACACUCCCCCUUCCAGCACCUGCCCUAACCCUCUGGCUCCACUGAGACCUCCCUUCCUGUGAUCCAGGAAGUGAACUUGAAUCUCCCUCCCACAAGGUCUCCAGUGGUCUUUCUUCCAUAAAGGUAAACCCCCCAUUACCUUGCCAUGUCUGCUCCAGAUGUCAUCUUCUCUAUAAGUAGGAGGAUGCAUGGGAUGGGGGGUGGGACCGUCUUCUGGGAAGCCUCCCUUGAUCCUCACCUGCUAUUCUGUGUUCCCACGUUAUUUCUAUUAUUAUACUCAAGACACUGACUUGCAGUGAAUUGUUAAUGCUUUUGUCCUGACCACGAGCUCCUUAAAGGCGGAAUCCUUGUCUGACUCAGCCUUGGGUCCCCAGCAGUCCCCUGCACUAAGCAUCUACUGAAUGAGUGAAUACAUCAGCAAGCCCACCACUGACUUCCCAGCUCAGAAAGACCCAUACCCAGCUGGAGGUUCAAGUUACCAAAAUUGGGCUUAUGGUCUGUGGAGGGUGGAGGGCAUCAAUCAAACAAGUCCUGGGUUUUGGAGAAAAUCAGCAAGUAUGAAUAAUGCUCUCUGCCUUCGGGGGUUCACUGCUGAAUCGGGAAUCAGUACUCCUGUCUAGAACACACUGCAAUCGUUAGAAAAACUUUCAUGGAGUAGUCGGGGCCCGGCUGAGACUUGAAGCAUGAGUUACAAUCAUGUCGGUAGAGACGGGAGGAAGGCAC